UGUGUCAAUAUCGCGUCCGCCGACGUUUGAUCAACGUUUGAUACCGAAGAGAAUAAAUGGUGGAAAUCAGCGACCGUUUGUUGGUCGAGAGAUCUGUCAGUUGAUAUUAUAUGUAUGUAUAUAUAUAUACUGUUUUCGAGAAUUCGAGACGAAUAGAGAUAGAACUGGAUAGAACGCAUCGUUUUUUGUAAAAAAGGAAUCGGAUCGAAUUGGAAGAAUUAUUUAUGUGAAGCAGUGAGAGAAGGAAAGAUUCUGACGAGUUGGAAAGAUAUUUUGGCGAUUUGAACGAGGAGGGUGAAAGGAUAAUAUCGAUUUAAUCAAGUUUGGCCAAAAAAGGGGGGAAUGUAGAGGCAAACGCAAUCCGGCUUAUUAAGGAUGUCAUCGGGGGGGUUGAGGCGAAUAACAAUGGACGUUGUCUCGAUCCUUCUCCUCCGGAACCUCCCCCUGCUCCGGGGAGGCACGAAACGCGAAAGGAAUACCACGACGGGAUUCCAGAGGGAUAUUUAAAUAGCCCCGCCACUCUCGAUCGCGACCCUCGAACUUGGGAAUGUCGGUCAUCUUUGAACGAUCUCGACCUGGCUGCAACGCUCCAUUCUCCGCCCAACGGUUUGCCAACCCUCUCUCGCCACAAUUAUCGAAUGGUAUCCCGACCUCGUCCCUUGAUAUUUCGUGCCCGGUUGUUAUAAAAAUAUCGCGAAAUUUUUCCUCUCUCAUUCUUCUCGAUUAUACAUACAUAUAUAUAUAUAUAUUUUUUGAGAUAAAUAAUUUGAAUCUCUCCUCGAACGAUCGUGAAAAAUCGUUAGUUUCAAAAAAUCUCUCCUCUCUCCGUCGAAUUUGAAAAAACAAAAUCCCUCCACAAAAUUCUCCGACGAAAGUAACUCUCUCGCUCUCCUCCCAAUCUUAAAAGGAAUCCUCGGCGAAGACACAAGAAAAAUGAAAUUAUUCGAACGAAGAGGAAAAACGCAUAAACGUUAUUCUUAAUUAUGCCCAUUAUCUCGUUCUUCCAUCCUUUCGCGAUGGUACAGUUUCUCUAAAAGUUUCUUUAAACGGUCCCUGUCUUCAAACGUAUGGAAAAACUUUUCGCCAUCGAUCGCCAAGCCCCAUCGUAUCGAGGGGACGAGAAAUUCCGAGGAAUUGGAGAGGUCGAUUUCGCACUUUCCGAAAAUGGGAUUGCCAACUCUUUUCAAUGAACUCUAAUAGCGUCUCGGCGAGGAGAGAGAGAGAGAGAGAGGGAGUCCCGGAAUGACGCGCUCACGCUCGCGCGCACGCGAAUUCCUAUUCUCGGCUCGGCAUGAUGCGCGAGUAACACGAGACGCGCGCGUUUAAAUAUAUCCCAUGGGCCGAGCCGCGGAGAGCGUGUGACUCGCUGCCCGAUAGAUUUUCGCUCUCGUGGUGAGCCGGUACGAUUAUGGUUCGACAUGAAACGAGAAUAAACGAGGAAAAUAAUCGAGGAAUUACCGCAUCUCCCGGCCCCUUUAUAGAUAUCGGACGACCAACUCCAAACUCUACGCUGACGGAUCGAACCUCUCUCUCUCUCUCUCUCUCUCGCCAAACUGUAAUACAUCUCCUGGCGAGUGUCACAUAGUCGAAGCAGUGAUGGAUGAUUCAAGGAGAUGUCCUCGAAUCGUGCGUGUGAAACGUGCACGUACGAAUAUUUAACGAUCGACGAAAAAUAUAUAUAUAUAUAUAUAUAUGUACAUUUUACUCUCUCUCUCUUUCGCGCAAGCGAGCGUAAGAACAACGAUAUCCUCGAAGAGGCGUCUGUCCCGAUUGACAGAUGAUUGGAACGGCACAAUACUUGCAUACCUCUCUGUCCGAAAUAUCGGGAACUCUCCACGAGGGGCAGCCGAACGGACGAUCCAAAGAGGUGUCUCCUCCACUGACAGACGCUGUUUGUUUCUCUCUCUCUCUCUCUCUCUUUCAUUCCCCUCUCCGGCGAAAAGAAAAAAGAAAUCGAUGAACGGAUCCACUUGUUCGGGAAACAGAUCAUGAUCAUGAUCAUCACUCACUGAACAGAAUUCCGACACCAGUAAUAAUAAUAAUGAUAAUAAUAGUAAUAGCAAUAGUAAUAAUAAUAACAAUAACAAUCCUCCCGAUCGUCGUGUCGCGCGAUAGUACACUUCUCCUCCGAUCCGCGCCAGAUCCGUCGUUUUGUUCGAUCACUUGCACAACUCUCGCUUGGAGAUUCUUCUCCAAGCUCUCUCGUCUCUUUUUUUCUCUCCUCCUUCUUCUUCUUCUUCUUCUUCUUCUUCUUCUUCGACACUUCACUUCAUCCCGCGAUCCCUCCCAGAAGAAAACGGAGCCGCCGCUUCCUCCUCCUCCUCCUCCUCCUCCUCCGAGCAAGAGCGUAUAUCGCCGGCUCGCGAAUAUUUCUGACGGCUCGCGCAAUCGCCCACGGCUGCCCGUUUUCGAGUAUUUUUAGGAAAAUUAUGCAACGUCUCUCGUUCCAUCGUUUACUCGGUGCCGCGCGUUCGACGUCGCGGCGGCCGCGGCUCACUUAUCGUCUCUCGCGAUUUUCACGAAAAAUCUCUCCUUCCCUCUCUCCCUCCCUUCGCCUCGCAGCAAGGAAAGGGCGCGGGAAGAGAAAGAGAGAGAGAGAGGAGACGGGUCGGUGACGUGUCUCGGUAUCCCGAACUUGAAAACGGAAUAGAAAUAUUUCCCGGACGAUCGACCAAGUUCCCAGUUCCGUUGCACGGUUCCGCGGUGCUCUGCGUGUCCGCUCCUCCGCUCGUUGGACGAUAUUUUGGUCGCGUGGGGGGAGGGAGGGAGGGAGGAGAGGAGGAGGAGGAGAGGAGGAGAGGAGGCUGGUGUCUGAGCUAGGGAAGAGAGAGAGAGAGAAGGCGGGAGAGGGAAUAUCCAUCGGUCGGUCGGCCUAUAUCCGGAGCGAGUCUUCUUCUUCUGUCGCCUCGUCGGCCACGCGGUGUUCAGUGUCCGAUACCUGUCAUUCCGUUUCCCUCGAGAUAACGCGCUCGUCGAUCCUUCUCCCUUCGUUCGCGAGACUCUCCGUUUCUUCCAGAUUCGAGAAGGGUCGUGAAAGGUUUAAUUAAUUCUUCGGUCGGGUAAGAAAAGAAAAGAAAAAAGAAUCGGAAUCGUCUCUUUCGGCUUCCUUCGGAAGGAAGUGUAAAAUAUCGUAAAAAAUAUCGGGAGUAGUACAGUUUGUCGAUUCGAGGAGGUGGAAGAGAGAGAGAGAGAGAGAGGAAGGGAGAGGACACCCCGGUCUGAAAAGUUUCCCCCGCAAUAUUCCAUCCGGGUAGGCAAAUAGACGGCAAGUUCAAUAUCGACUCCUGUGUAGUUUCCCUGUCCGCUCGCUCCCGUUUCACUUUUAUCCGCCUCGAUUCUCCCGAAGAAUGUCGGCUAAUCGGCCGUGUAUAAAACGGUCAACCCCCUUGGCCCCCCUCCCCUUCACGAAUCCUCGCUUCCUUCUUCACUUUUCCUUUCCCGAUCACGAUUUUAUUUCACGCGCGACGAUCGCGAUCACGACGAGUCGAUGAAAAUCAUCCGAGAGAGAGAGAGAGAGAGAGAGGAAAGAGAGCGGAGGAACACGCGAAAAUAAGCGGCUUAAAAUAAAGACGAACUCUCUUUCUCUAGUUCGUGCUAUUUUCCAACUCGUCGUCCGUCACCUUCAACUUUGAGCGGGUCGGAAGAAGCGGAUCUAGAGAGAAGAAGAAUCCUCGACGGGAGAUCGAUGCUCGAUAUCCGAUGGUUGUGUAUUAUAAUUAUUUCAACCGACAUUCGCUAUUUCGAGAUCUCGUCAUCGUCGUCGUCGUCGUCGUCGUCGUCGUCGGCGGCGCGAAUCGAUAAAAUAGACGGAUGAAAUAAAAUUGGCGCACGAGAGGGUGUGCGAGAUUCGAAACGGAGGAAUAAGAGGGGUUGAAUCUUGAGGUGGAAAUCUUUUUCGCUCGAAAAGAAAAAAAAGAGGAAAGUUGGAACGAGAAGAGUUCCGCUUAAAUUAGAUUCAUAUUAGGUGGAAAACAAGGCGGCGUUUUUACUCGACUCGCGCGAGUAAUCUCGUCGAAUAAAUUGGCGAGAGAGUGGACGAGAGGACGAAUCGCGGAUACCGUUCGUCGACGCGCGAGUUCUCGAGAAAAAUGCGAGAGAAAAAUUUCUAUCUUAAGGGUUGGUGCAAAAGAUGGAACGCGGAAAAAUCGAAGAGAAUAGAAUCGUAUCGAGGCGUCGAAUGCGGAGAGUCUUGAAAAUCGAAGAGGAACUGGUCGUUGACGCGGUGGAAAAAAUUGGAGACACGAUAUUUUCCUUUUUUCUUUUUUUCUUUUUUUUUUUUCCACCUUUUUACGUCUCGGCCGGAAUAAUGCCGCGCGACGAAGAAACGGCGCAGACGAGUUAAAGAGGAGAACGAGACGGGAAUUUUCUCUGGCGGAAGUUAAUUCGACGAGAGAAGUCUCCCUCGCGGGCGAGGAUUUUUGCUGUGGGAAACGCACGAAAUAAUAAACGAGCCCUUUCGACGUUCCAGACUAUGCACAAACUCGCGACGAGAGAGGGAUUUUAAACGAGAAACCACCCCUUAACCGCCGCUUUUCCUUCGAAACUGGCCGUGGAAAGUAAUAACAGCCCGAGAAUCUCGGGAUCAACUCGCGUGAAAUUGGCCCGACGACGAGCGUCGCCUCGAUAAAACCACCACGUUCCACUCACUCUCGUUCUUCGCUUCGUUGUCGCGACGACACAACACGAUUCGCGACGCGUGCGAAGAUCCCGUAGCGGCGGAAGCGCGAAGCGGUAACGAUCGUGGAAACCACGACGGCGGCGAGAAAAAGAGGAAGAAGAAGAAGAAGAAGAAGAAGAAGAAAAAGAAGAGGAGGAGGAGGAGGAGGAAGAAGAAGAAGAAGAAGGACAGCGGCGUGAAAAGGGUGGUCCGUGGUGAAUCGACGAGGCAUGGCCGUUACGAGGCCGUGUACACGAGCGUUCCGCGUCUUUUAAAGCCGGUGCACCCUCGAGGGUAGGCUAACGCUUCUUGAACACGCCGCUAUUGUUGGAACGACAAUGGCCGAGGCCGAUACUCAUCCUCGAGUAGCCACAAAGCCUUCGCUCUUGCUGCCAAUCCAGCGUCGACCGCGUUCCCCGAACUGUUCCGCCCUUUUCCCGUGCAAAAAUUCUCAUUUUCGUCCACGAAAAUGACGGCAGCGACGACUCCGUUGUUUCUUGGAACGAGCGCGCCCCUUUAAGACGCCUUCGAAACGCCACCCCCCGUCGGAACAAUGGCACCGUUCGCGCCACGGAAUUACGAGAAAUCGCUACUUUUCGCUUCCCUCUCUCCCUCUCCCUCUCUCUCUCUCUCUUUCUCCCUUUCUCUCUCUCUCUUUCUCUCUUUCUCUUUCUCUUUCUCUCCCUCUCUGCCUCUCUCUCUCUCUCUCUCUCUCUCUCUCUCUCUCUCUCUCUUCUUCGAGCCAUUCGAUUGCACGUCGGCUCUGUGUCGUCCGUUUCUAUUGGCAACCACCCGGACGAACGUCGAUCGCCACGAACCGCUGUCGGCGAGCCACGACCAGUAGUAAAAACGUUUGAUGGGUCCACACGCUGCCAGUCUUCUCUCUUUCUCUCUCUCUCUCUCUCUCUUUCUCUCCCUCUCUCUCUCCCUCUCUCUCUCUCUCUCUUCCUUUCUAUCUCUCUAUCUCUCUACCUCUCUCUCUCUCUCUCUCUCUCUCGCUCACCCGAGAUAUAUAUCUUCGAUCCCGACGUGAUACAACCACAGAGACGAGUACGUGUACGGUACGCGGUGUUACGCGAGUGCCCGUUUCACCUCCUGUCGUGUCCGGCCACGCGCUACGCCGUGACUACUGGGUCCACGGGGCGUCCGCUCCUUUAGCGAGUCCAUCGCGGACAGUUCACGCUGCUACGUCCCUCUGCAGCUGCACUCUGCUGCAGCGCUCCGGAGCGGAGAUAUAGACGUGUAUGAGCCGCGUAUAGGUAUGCGGGAGGCGAACAGAGACGGAGGUAUCGGAUGAAAGGAAGGAGAGAGAGAGAGAGAGAGAGAGAGAGGAAGAGGAAGAGAAAGAGCGUGCGUGUGUGCGAGAGAGAGCGAGGGGGAGAGGGAGAGUAGCGUAGGACGCGCACAGAGAGAGGGUGGACGAGGGGUGCGAGAAGGUGUGGGUAAAGAGAAAGAGAGAGAGAGAAAGAGAGAGCGGACCACGGUCCGACCAGAACGUGAACGUACUACUUGGUGGGCGUCCGGGCCCGCACUGUGCAGCCGACGGCAGCCGUCGCGACGCUUCCCCGCCCGAACACGAGCUGUGCACACGGGGUAGGGGUUGGGACGAGGGUGGGGGAGGCGCCGGCGCCCCACACGCUUGCGCCACCGUACCACGACCCCUUAGACGGAACGCACCAACCCUGUCCUAUCCACCGUGUACACCCACCCAUUCCACGCGCGCACACAACGCACCACGUACACACCGCCGCCGAUCCUCCUCUCCCUCGGAUACGCCACCCACCCCAUCCCCCUCCGUGUGCUCAGGCAAAACCGACCACCACCAUUCCCUCCCUCCCGGUCCUCCCUCCCCCCGGUCCUGCUCUUGUCAGCCAGCCAGCCAGCCAGCCAGCCAGCCAGCCAUCCAGCCAUCCAGCCAGCCUGUCUGCCUGCCUGCUUGCUUGCCUGCCUGCCUGCCUGCCUGUAUGCAUGCCUGCCUGGCCUGCCCGCUUCCCUAACUGUCUGCCUGCCUGCCUGCCUGCCUGCCUGCCUCCUCUCUACCUGCUCGCCUGCCUGCCACCCCUCCACCGUCCACGUCGCACGCCCGUCACUAUGGAAAAUAUGAAUUUGGGUCAGAUACCAGCCGCCGUGCCCUAAUGAACCUUUAAUGUGACCUAUUUCUUUUUUUCCACCCUCGUCCUUCUUUUCUCUCUCCUUCUCUCUCUCUCUCUCUACCUCUCCCCUUCUCUUCGCCUCCUCCUCUUCGUCUUCCCACUUUUCCUGCGUCUUUUCUACCCUGUUCGUGUAUCUCUCUCUCUCUCUCUGUCUCUCUUUUAUUCGUCAUAUUUUUUCCCUCCUCCCUCGUUUCCCAAGUCUCUGUUUCUCUUCACACGAUUCUGCGUGGAUUCCAUCUUGACGCGUGGUCAAGACUCUUCUUCCUCUUUCCGAUCUUCGAUUUUUUUUUCUUUUCCCUCCCCCCUCAAUGCGGGUCGUCGUCACGUGAGUCGCCGCCGCCGCCGCCGCCGCCGUCGUCGUCGUCGUCGUAGAGUUUGUUGGCACCGCCUAACUUACCAGUGUCCAGACGAGUGCCCCCUCCCCCCGAAAUUUCUCCGCGGUUUCACCUUCCUUCCUAACUUUUUGAACAAGUUCACGGUUCUCGAAUUCGUUAAAAAAUCUCGGAAAUUUUAUUUUUCCGAAUAUUAUUAGGAAGGUUUCGGGAUAAGAAGGGAAAUUCCAACCCCCGUUCCCGAUUAAACCAAACCGUUCCUUCGGCUCGGUUUAAUACCGAGGCUCUCGUCUUGGUCUCUCCGCUUGUAAAAAAAAAAAAAAAUCGAUGCUCCGAUGACCGUGGAUGAUCCAUCUCCCGCGCAUCCCUCCCUCCCUUCCUCCCUCCCUCGCUGAAUAAUCGUCGCGUCUCGCGCUGCUCUCUUUUUUCUUUUUUUCCAUCCCUCCCCGCAUCGAACUUUGAUACAGCUUCUUUAACCACGCACGGAACUAGCACGUUUUACGGCCGCUCCCGCUUUAAAGCCUCCCCGUCAACUUUCGAACUUGAUACAGCCUCCCCACCCUCUCCCUCUUUCCUCUCUCGCUCUUUGUUCCCGAAUCGGGUGCUUGUUUUUUAAAGCGCUCCAGGAUUCUCAACCAAGGAUUGUCGUCUCCUUAAAUCACGAAGGGAAUGGAUGAGGGGGAGAGGGGGCUGUUACGAUGUUUCUUAUGACUUAAUUUUACGAUUUUACUCGAGGUGCACGAUCGUUUUUCUUUUAUACGAUUAUAUAUCGUUCGCGCGAGAUUUUUUUUUUUUUGUUUAUUCUCUACUCGGGACUCGUUGCAAAAUUAAAUUCUUUUAAAUAGAUAAUCCUUCCUUCGAAGGGAUGAAUUAAAACGGUUCCUCCGUAAAAUUAGAUCGAAACAAAUUUCUGAAUGUAACGAUCCUUGGACGAAUAAUUUUCAAAUUAAACUCUUCCAAAUAAAUAAUCCUUCCUUCGAAGGGAAUGAUGAAUUAAAGCGGUUCGGUCCUCGGUUUCGUAAAAAACUUAUUCCUGUAACGAUCUUUCGACGAAUAAUUUUCAAGGAACGUAAACGAUUAAUGGAUAGGGGGAGGAAUCGUUCGUUGCCCAAAGUGCUUGCUAUCCAUAAAAAUCUUUCUCUCUCUCUCCCUCUCUUCUCGAUUUACAGUCUCUAGAUUACCAAAUACGAACAGUGAGAACACUUACUAUGUAUCACACCGUUUAUUUCCUUCUUGUACAUAUACAUAUAUAUAUAUACAUAUAUUUCCAGCACAAUUUUUCGCGCAUGGUUAAUUGCGAAAUAUCAGGGCCGCGUUAUCGAUGCUGUCGCCGUGGCCAGAUUAGAAUCGCAUUUUCAACGCGUUCAACUCUCUCUCUCUCUCUCUCUCUCUCUUGGCGCCUUGUAUCAAAUUAAAAUCUGAUGUAAAUUGCAUGUAAUUACGUUGCCGCGCGUGCAUUACACGGCACAAGCAUUCCACGGCACGCCACCCUCGCUUGAAGAGUGGCGCACCCCUGCCCCCUUCUCUUACCCCUGUGGCCACGUGUCGCGGCUGAUGGAGCGAUAAAGAGUUAACAAUCGGAAGAACAGAAACGAUUAAUUAUCACGUUUAGACGAUCCCAAACAUUACGCGCUUACGCGAGUUCUCCAUCUCGAUUUUGGCGAUGCACGCCAAUCGUCGCUGCGAAUAAUAUCAACUUUCCUCGACUUUCCUCCUUCCCCAUCCCUUUCUUCUCUCCCCCUUUUUCCACUCGUGGCUCGAGCAAUAUCGAGUUCCGUUCCCUUUUUCGGGAAAGGAGAGAAGGUGGAUGUCGAUGAAGGGUGAAUGAUCGCGUGAAUUAGGAUUACGAGUUUGAGUCGCAAUAGGUUUGGUGGUAUUUCUUCGAAACAGUACGAGCAUAGGGGAUGUGUUGUAAUUGGGAUGCGCGAAUAGGGAUUACGCGUAUUCGAUUACAGUGGAUUCAGCUGUAUUUUUUUGUUGGAGAAAUUUUUUUCUUUCUUUUUUUCUUUAUUAUUAUUCCAUUUUCCAUUUAUUUUUGAAGUGAGACUGUAAUAUUCAGUUUUUUCUUUUCUUCUCUUUCCUUUCUUUGGAAUAGUAAUUCGGAUAUGUUGUAUAAUAGGUGCGAUUUAAAUUUGUUCGGAUAAAAGUGGGAAAGUACAUAUUGUAACAAGAUUUAAAAUUUCGAAAAUCGAAUUCAGAUUAUCCGUUUUAACAAUAUCUUUCUAAUUUUUGAAAUAUUCGUAUUUAAUAAAUAUUCAUGUUUAGGGAUAUGUAUAUUUUUUAUGUAAUGUCAUUACGCGUAGGAAAUUCCAAUUAGAUUAUCUCGAUGUAAAAUUUCAUCGUUUCAAAUUUAAUACACUUGCCGUGUAUUAUUCCUCGUUACGAAACGUUUCACGUGAAAUUUUCUAAUAACGCAAACAACCUGUACAAUUUGUUGCGGUGACCGCGUUGAUUUUCAGAACACAGAGAACCGACAGAUUUUUCCCCCCUUUCCUUCUUCCUUCCUUUCUUUCUUUCCAGAGGAUAUGCAGUAAAAGUUGAUGGAGAAAAAUGUGUGUCACACGUUUUGCAACCAUAUUUUCCCUCCCAGUUGCAAAAAUGCGCGUGUCAACUUUACCCGUAUUUAUCCUGUUUUUAAUGAAAAUAUACCCUUUUUUUUUUUAGCAUGGAAAUAAAAAAUAAAAAAAGAAAAGGAAAAUUUCAUCCCUUUCGUCCCAAAAUGGGCAAAAAGACGAAACGAGAGCGCGAUUUAAAGAGUGGUUCAACUGUUAAAUUUGUAUUCAAAAUAGUUUUUUUUUUUUUGAUCCGAAUACGAUGAAAACAACAAAAUUUCAAAAUUAAAGGAUUUACAGAUAAUUAUCGCAUCGACCACGAAACGCGUCUGACGUGCAUAGAUAAUUUCACUUUUCGUGCUUCGAGUAUUUCCGUAUUUCUGAAAACAUUUUUCGUUAGUUUUGUCAUUAAUUCAAUCUGCAAAUUAGAAAUUACCUUAAUUUGAGUUAAAUCGAGCUAAAUGGUGGACAAUAUUUUUUAUUUGCGUUCAAUUAUUUAUUUAUGAUCGAAGCACGGAAAGAUAUUACUAUUGCGUAAUUUAAUUUAAAAUUAUACCUCAAUAGUUAUUCAUUACUCGUCUUGUGUAAUUCGUAACGCGCGAAACGUAAUGCAACAUAAGGCGAAAACUAUUCGACGUAUCGUUUCACGCGUCCAAGUAAUUCAAUCGCUGUUGCAGAGUGUGCACGCGAAUGUGCAAUUUACAAAUUUAACGAUUCAAAAUAUGGACGUGAUAUGAUUGAAAGGAAAAUGCGAACGAAUAUGAAUAAACAAAAAAAAAAAAAAAGAGAGAAAGAAAGAAAACACAUCGAUAUAAUAAUGGAUAUUCGAUAAAGCAGAUAUUCAGGAUUAUAUUUCAUUUUUGGGAUGGGGGAGGGGGGAAGCAACAAAGGUUCCAUCCUUUUCAACGAAUUGUUAUAUCCGCGCCAAUUUGCAUUUCAAUGAUUUCACGUUUAUUUCAUAAACCAUUGUUAAAUUCCUGGAUCCGUGUAUUUAUCAAAUGAUCAUCAUUAAAUUAGGUUAUAUCGUAUGAUCAUAUUACGCUGUGUUCCAAGUGUAUGAAAUAGGAGAGGAGGGGAAAGAUUCGAUUCGAAAAAAAGAAUUACCCUUUUUAAGAAGCUUAACUUCGAGGAAUAUAUAUUUUUUUUUUCGAAGAUUACUCUUUCUACCUUUCAACGCGCCGUUAAAAAGGGCGUGGUUGAUCGAAGAGAAAAAAAUAGAAUUACUCCUAAGUUUCUUUUCGAGAAGAUUCUUUUAAUCGAGGAAAAGAAACAAAGGAGUAUAAUAUCCCCUUUAAGUCGCCCCAUCUCCUUCACGCGUAAGAAUUCUUCCAUUCCUCUUCAAUACGCGUCUAAACGCGGUAUCAUCGUAACGUAAUAAAAUUCAGAUUGGCAAUAUUUGGGAUAAAAAUAUUAGCAGUAGGAAUCGUAUCGAGUCGACAAUCGCGGUAUUAUUCCACGAGAUAUCAUCCCGUCUGCGGUUCCCUCUUCUCUCGCGCGGCAGGAGGGGGGAAGGGAGAGGGAGAGGGAUAGCGGUGCGAGCAGUGAAAACUUUGAUCGUUGCCCCGUAGCGCUCAUAACUCAAAUUAUACGUACUCUUCGAAUUCUGCUUGUACGCGGUCGCUCAAGUACGAGUAUCUGAAGUAGUACGUAGAUAUUGAAACACAGAACUCCCAUAACUUUUCAUUAUAUCGCCGCGUUAUCUUCUUAUUAUCUUUUAUUUGCCGGUGAACUCGACUCCGCACUCGACUUACGCCGGUUUAUUCUUGUUCGCGAAAAAUCAUUUCCUUUCGCGGGGGAUAAUAUUUGACCGAAUAAUAUCUCGACGUCGAGUCGCCGAGAUUAGAAGAGACUCGCUCGAGCCCUGCCGUUCGAAUGAUUCGAAAAAAUAUUUCUCGAGGAAAGGAAAAGAAGAAUCGGUUCUACUUUUUGAAUUAUCCUUUUCUUUCUUCUUUCCUUUUUCUUAAUCUUAAUCUAAUCUAAUUUUUAAAAAAUUCACACAAAUGUACACGCGCGAGGAGAAACUGUUAAUUAAUUCCAAAAAUUACGAUCUUCUCGUUUUUUUGAAAUCCCCAAAUAUCCACGCCAAAUAACGAAACGAUACUCGCCAUCCAGUCGCUCUCGAUUCGCCGGAAUUUUCUCGGGGAAACCUGAAUUUAUUCUCGCAUCGGCGACCCGCUGGAAUAUCGAAGCUCGCUCGGGAAGCGACGCCGAGACACUCGUGAUCCGCAUUAACGAGUGCCGAGCUUUCAUUUCGCUCUUAAAGGGACCGUUCGAAUGUGCAAAGGAGGGAAGGAGCGAAAGAGGAGGGGAAUUCGAGCGCGGGAAGAGCGUGGAGAAGAGGGAUACAAAGGAAAGAAAUCGAGGAGAGGAAAGAGAGAGAGAGAGAGAGAGAGAAAGAAGUGGAUCAGUCAUCGAGGUGGAAAGCGAUGCCUGUUAACGAGAGUCCAUAAAUAAUUGAUUCUGAUGGAAACAAAACCGACCAGCGUGCCAGUUUGUCAGCUAUAAUGCCACACUACCUCCUCCUCUCCCCCUCUCCCUCUCUCUGAAACCAGUUUAUAAAAUCCAUCAUCCCACCGCGAUAAAUAUUAAACCUCUCUUUUCGCUUUCGUUUCACCGCUUUGCGGGAAAUUGCUCUGUUCGACGAUCCAUCCUUGGCCCCGGUUAAUGGCCUCGUUAUAGAUUCGUUGUCGUCAAAGAAAGUCCAGGAAGGAAGGAAGGAAGGAAGGAAGGGGAGGGUUACUCGAUCGCAUCCUCCUCCUCCUCCCCCUCCCUCUCUUUGCCAGAAUUUAUCGCGUAAUCGGUGUGUUCACCCGAUCAAAGUUCCUCUCGAUUCGACUCUCGAUUUUCACCCUUUCGUCAGAGGGAUGCUUACCUCUAUUCGAUGAAGAGAGAUCGAUGUGACGUGAGUUUCUUUCUUUUUUUUUUUGGUGAAUAAUAGAGAAAAUACGGGAGGAGGGGACCGUUAGUUAAUUCAGAGGAAAUGUUUGAAUCGUGGAUCAAAGCGUGGAGGUUUGACGUUUAUUGAAUCCUCCCGUACAUUUAUUAUUAUUCUCUCUCGCGGACCUCUUGGUAAUUACGCGGGAUCAUCGUUGUCGUUGCAGUUUACGUCCAUUCAUUUCGUUCGUCCACCGUGUAAAAGCUCCGCGAUUCCGUGGCAUGAAAUAUGCAUCAGUCGCAUUGAUAAUUAUGCGGCUCGAUAACGCGCCCUUUCUCUCCCUCUCUCUUUCUCGUUCGUCGGUGUUAUAAAGGCAGUUCACGAUUGCGCGAUCGUCGAUCGUCUUUUCGAUCGAGUAGAAGAUGAAUUCGCGCUUCUUUGGGGAAUUUUUUGGGAAAAACGAGUCUCACGGAUAUUACGAUUUGGUUAUACAAUUUUUUGGACGGAUUUACAUAAAAUGGGAUUUAAUAAUUCGCUGUUGUCCCAGGAGAACCGUUCGUGCGUAAUUAAUUGCAACUAUUGCCGAAAUAGUUGGGGUUCAUCAUCGGGAAAUUGCUGUUAUUAUCCGCCGUCUCCCUCUCGUACAGGAAUACAUUGAAAUUAUCCAUCCGUGAAUAUCAUUAAAGCAAUUUAUGCUCCUUACCCCUCCUCCUUUUCGCAUUUUCUUUAACUCGCCAAGCUUUUAACGGAGCACAAUGCGGCCACGAGGCAUGGGGAGGGGGGAUUAACAAUGGUCAGCUAGCGGAAUCUUUGGUGUCCUCUUAUCAACGCAAUUAUCCUCAGACGUCAACAACGCUCCUCCUUGUUCAAAUCCUAAUUUCCUUUUGAAAAAAAAAAAAUAACAACAAUCACAACUCGAGCUUACAGUUACACGUACACCCCGAAUUCCUCGAAGGGGCAAAGAGAAAAGUCAAUUUCUCGUUUCUCCUUCGAGCUGCAUUCCUCCUUGACGCGUAAUCCACUCGUGCACGAUAGCGGGAAGCAAAGCGGCGAACAGCGCACUUCUCUGUUUCGAGCACCUUUUAAUGCAGGGACGCGGCCCGGCCGUGAAUCGUUUUUAUCGGCGGAGCCGGCCCACGCCGCCGUAACUUCAAUUCAAUCGACGCGCAUACGGCCACCGUGUGGAUGAUAUACGCAACGGCGGCCACUGGCUGCUCUCCGCGCUUGCAUGCAUGCAUGCAUGCAUGCGGCUGGCACGAAAAGCGCCAUACCUCCGCCUUUAUCGCACCCUUUGUCCCCGACACUGUUCGUUAGCUUAACGGUUUUGUUCGCCCCACUUUGCCCCCCUCCUCCAUAACCAGGCCGCAGCACACCAGGACACGAUUUACUCGCUGGGAAAUGGGAAGACGAAUCACGCUGUUUUCUUCGAAAAAGAGAAGAAGAAAAAAACGCGCGCGCGAAAAAUAUGGACGGGUUGCCAUGCUUUUUCUUCCUCCAUUGUUUUUCUUUCUUUCCUCCCCCUUUCUUUUCACCCCUCCUCUCCUCCUUUUUCAUUUCAGCCUCGGUGUUGUUCCCUCCCCCUGUUCUCUCUCCGCUUUCUUUUUGAUCGUUCUCGAUUCCUUUUUCUUUCUCUUCUUUUUCCUUUCCUCUCCUCGAUUUUUCCCCCUUUCUUCUCCCUUUUCUCUCCUUCCCAGGGAUACCGUACCGCGAGAAACAACACGUGCUGGCGAUAGAUACGGGACCUGUCGUUUCGUAUAUACAACGAGUCUUUCUUUCUUUCCUCUCUCCCUUUCUCCCUCUCCUCCUUUCUUUCGGCGAGCCUACUCUCGCGAGGUUCGGCGACCUCCUUUCCUUUCUUCCGCCUCUUCUUACUACCCCUCUUCGCGCGAAUUGUGUGUUCCCUGCCUCGGACUCCCUUGGAUAUUAUCCUCUGAUGCUAGCAAUUGGACGAGGAAUUUUUUUUCCUUCUUUUUUUUCAUUCUUUCUACGCUCGUUCGAAAAGUUGAAAGCUCGGUGUUCUUUGAUCAACGUAUACUCGCUUCCUCGAAAGGAUUUGCGCCUAGAUUCGAUCCUGCGUCGGAUCGACUCGAAGCAAUUGGAGGUCCGUCAAUUAUUUUCACCGCGAUUGUGUCCCCCUUUCACUAAUCCUGGACUGGACUGCGACGAUUUUGUUCGACUCGAUGUAAUUAACCUAUUGCGCGAUUUGAGUUCAGCACGCAGAAAGUAAUUAGCAAGACGUCCGUUUCGAUUAUCUGGAAGAAAAUCUUUUUUUAAACUGAUCAAAUUGAGGGUGAGUCAACCGGGAUAAACAGAUUCCUGGCCUCGAUCAGAACUUUAAAACGCAAUUUUCCAAAUAUUUUUCCAUACACUUGGAGAUAUACUCUCCUCGCCGGCCGUUUUACGAUCAAAUUGGAUCGUUCGGUUUACAGACAACUGUGGUUAAUCGAACGCCGGUAUUAUUCAACGCGCGUUGGAAACUCGUCGUUUCGAAAUGUUUGAGGUGGCAAUUUGCUUUAAAUUACACGUAAACGUUUGUCCAAAAUUUGGUAAAGCGGAAAAUAAACGGAGAAUAUUUCGUUUAAUUUUCACGACCCUCCCCCUCCCUGUAAACAACCGUAGACAGGGUCUUAAUCGCGUUACAAUCACUCGGGUGUAACCAUCAACGGUUACUAUAAUCACUCAUAAUCGCGACCAGAUAGACGUCGAAAGAAAGAGAUCCAUUCUCCACAAUUCCUGGUGGCGAUAAACCUUUAUCUUUUCCACGCGGCGAUCACGUACACCCAAAGGGAGAAGGAGAACGGAGCCCAUUAAGUCGAGUUAGCGACGCCGGUACACGCCCUGAGGAAUCAGGCGGGGACCUUGUUCCGGCACGUCUGAUAAACGGAAGAACAACGGCUCGUCCGGGUUGCUGGAUGAGCGGGUGGCUGACUGGCGUGAUUAGCUAAGUGAUUGGAAACCCCACCCUCGUUGCUCCCACGUCACGAGAGAAUCUCCACGAGGAUCCUUCGCGAUUCCGCCAAUUUUCUGCAUUGGGUCGUCGCUGGUUUCUUUCCCAAUUUCGAUGCGAGUAAACCACUUUCGCGAGGAGAAAUUCUUUCGAAAUUAUUCCUGCAUAUAUAAUGACCGUUGAACUUGCAUUGUCUCUUUUUCGUGAAUGUGUACUAUAUUCUACGAUACGUGGACUGUUGUUAAUUGGAAACUGACUGCUCUCUUGAAAAAAGAAAAGGGAAAAGAAGACACGGUCUGAGUUGAGAACCACUGACGCGGUCAUAGUUGGCUCUUUCGCAACGUGGCGUGGCGGAUGAGGUAUCGCUAUACUUGGAUGUUGCGCGAGGAAUAUUAGGCAAGUGGAUUAUAUCCGCCCAUAAUUUACUUCGUCGGGAUAAAUGAUCGGAACGAGCUCCCCCCGAGCUCGAAAGAAUUCUUGUUACUUAGCAAGGAUCAAGGAACACGUGUGUGUUACGCGAGGAUCGAUCGCGAUCAUUAGGACGAUUUAUUAUUCUUAUUCUUGCCUCAAGGAGCCAAGGAAAUCGAAAGGAAUUACCGAUAUUGAUUACCAACUGUUUCCUUACAUUUCAGCAACAAAAAUGCAAAAUGGCCCAAAAAUCCAAUUAAAAAUCCAAUUCUUCCCUCUCUCCCUCCCUUAUUAACGAGCUUCCCGUGCAACGGAGUCAGCGUCAAAUCAGCCUUCGAUACGGCUAUUCGAGCAGAGAAAGAGAGGGAGAAAGAAAGAGGAAGAAAGCGGACAAAUCGCGGGGCUCAAGUUGUUCCGCCCGAUUCUCCCUGUACAUCCCCUUUAGAGGGUUACGACCUGGUCACUGUGUAACCCAAUAACGCCCCUCCCUCCACCGAUAAUGUCGCGACGAACAAACUCCACGGAGGGAGAUAGAUAGGCAGGCAUCUCCGUUCUAUCGAAUUCGAGCCCGAUUCGAAACUGCGACGAAGCACGAAUAUCGAAGGCGGAAGGUUCGAAAACGAGACUUCCUUCCUUCCUUCCUUCCUUCCUUCCUCGGUGCGUUUUCACGCGGCCUCGAAGCCUUGCGAAGCCUCCAAUUAGCGGUAGCUCGAGAAAUCGAUGUGCGUGUGAGCUCGGGUGUUCAAUUAUCGGUGGCUCAGAGCCGGGCCCAUCGAUUGUGACCCACCUGGAUGUGUAAUGGAUGUUAUCGCCUUUCUCCCCGUUUUAACAAAACGCGAUCUUGCGUGAGAAGAAUACUCGAAGGGAGGGGAACUAUUUUCCGUGGAUGAAUCGGACGGUAUCCUAUUCCGGUUGCUUAAUUAUUUCCCGACUGUAUUUGCUUCUUUUCCUUUAUCGCUGCUCCUACGCAGGCAUCCCUUAUGCGGGCAAAUUAAUCGGAAUAGCUGCUUCUUUCCAUUCGCCCUUGUUUUCUGAAUAUUCCACUUCGAUUCGAUUCGAUAUAUAUAUAUAUACAUGUUUGAAGUUUUGUUUAUCGGGUGUAAAAUUUCCACUCUUCCUCUGCGAUUUAUCGAGAGAUUAUCUCCGAUUUGUCACGGUGCAACGAAUAUAUCGCGCGCGAUAUUUUAUUACGAGGAUGGCUGAUCGUCUGAUUAUAUCGUUCACCGAUAUUUUGUGUGUGUAUUUUAAAACACACAAAAUUUUAAAAGAAUUUCUUCCAACUUAUAUAUUAAUACUCGAUGACCUCUCGUUUACAAUAAAUUUUAAUUGGCGCAGCCUCGAAAGGAAGAUACUCAAGAACGUUUAAUAAUUUAGAAAAAGAGGAUUCAAGGAUUAAGAAAAAGAAAGAAGAGAUCUGUAAACGCACGAUACACAACGCGGGUAUUUUCUUUGUUCCGGGGAGGCGGAAGGGAGGGGGAAGUGAUCGAGGAAGGGGCGGGGAUUUUGGUUGCAGGCGCCGUCGGUUCGGGGGUCGAAAGAUACGGUUAAUAAAGCUGACUGCCACUCUCGCCGCUGCCCUCUAAUAUCAACGCAAAUGCGACUGUUUUGUAUGCUAAUUGACUCAUAUACAUAGGCACGUCCGCCCUACAUUGCCGCGCCGCUAAAUAGAUAUAGGAGGACUCGAUGCAUGCGACUCGGCCGGCCACCGGAAUAGGACAUGCCCGUGGAAUGAAACCCAUUUGCGUCGAGCACCGACGAGCUUGUAACUUUGCGUCACUCUCUUUUCCAUGUUUCGUUGACAGCCUUCGGACACGUGCAUGCAUGCAUGCAUGCAUGCAUGCGGUGGCCACUGUGGUGAUUCGCUUUGCUUGGAGAGGGAGGAUACGUUGCUUUUGGAUCUCUCCCUUUUUUUUCGUUUCAGCGAUUUAUCCUUGUAUAUCGAGUAGAGAAGAAGGGGCUUGCUUCGAAUCUCGGUUAAUUGGAGAUUUUUUUCAUCGCGGAGGAAAAGUUUCGAUUUGUCUGGUUUGUAACGAUAAGUUGAUUGGAUGAGUAUGGAAAAGGGGGAAGUUGAAUGUAGGAUUUGACGCAAGGUAGGAAGGGAAUCUCUCAACGGCUACGGGUUUUUUAAGAAUGUUAUUAAUCGAACGAUAAAUCCGAGAGUGGAAGCUGCGAGAUAAUCAGUGGCACUAUCUGGCGAACGCGAGUGUAACUCCAAGUCGCGAACCGUGUCCGGGGAAACUCGAUGCGACCACUGUCGGAUUAUUCCACGUUUUACUCCUUAAAUCUUGCAAUAAUUCAUCCUCCCCGAGAUACCAGGGCGGUGUUACGCGAUUUAGAUUUCCUUUGAAUUGACGUUUCGAAAGGAAUAAUUUUUAAUACGUAAAACUCUUUCUUUUAUUAAAAUAUAUAUAUUCGUUGGACGAAAUUUAUAGAAAUUAUACAAAGAUGUAAAUAAUAUUUUACACGUAAAAUUGGAUUUAAUCCUUCGCUCGGCCCAGUCAGUUUCUCUCUCCCAAUUUGCCCAAAGGAUUCAACGAUUGUACAUCGGUGGAGGUAAUUCUGUUACUCUCUCGUUUUUCGCAAUUAUCAAAAUUCACCGAUCGAAAUUAUGCCGAUAAAUUGUGCAACCCGUUUGUGCAGCUGCUUCCGAAUAUAUAUAUAUAUGUACGUACAACGUGUCUGCAUUACGACAACAGAACCGGUUUCCGUUUUGAAAACCGAAUCAACGCGUUAAUGCGCUCCCCGUGUUAUUACACGUAACAAUGCCGCAAAUAAUUAUUAAGAGGAUUGGUGGCCGCGAAAAAUAACCAACCAAUUCCCCCGCCUUCUCUCUCGAUUUUUUGUUUUUCAACAGAAACACCAAAGAAACGAUAGUUUCGUUUUGAAAAUAAAUAAGAUUUCAACAAAAAUUUAAGAAUCUCGAAAUAGCCAUUUCUUUUCCAAAUUUAAAAAAAUAUUUCCUCCAACCAAUAAUAACACAAAAUCGAAUAAAUUACGAGUGAAGCUAUCUCCACAAUUAUUGCUCAAAACGUAAUAAUAAUCAAGAAAUAAUCGCAGCUUGCUCUACACGAACGAAUAUUAUUCCAGCCUCUAACUGAGUGAUGGACAAAAUUGAACAAAUAGUUGAAGUUACCUACCUCCACAAUUUCGAGCAUUUUAACGAGCAAUCACUCGAGAUAACUUCAUUUUUAAAAUGAACCAACUUCCUUUCCCCCAAGUUCUCUGCCUCCGCUUCAUUAAUACGAAUAUAACACGUUAACAGCAGCCCUGAGGAGGAAAGGAAAGCGAAAGGAAACGAGUGUUGGCGUGGAAAUAACGUUAAUCGCGGAUCUCGUCGCGUUCGGGUCAACUGAACGGCGUGUUGCGGGCCGUCAGCUUUAAGGCGCGCGGAUGAGGCCGCCCUAUUGGCGCAAACAAUGCGCCGCACGGAGUAUUUAUUGCGGCGGCUAAUACCGGUUUAUUGGGAUGUAAAAUGAGGCGAGUCCCCCGCUUGCUGACACGCUCGCUUUCCUCGAGUCGUUCCCAACGCAUAAUGGAACGCGCUUUGCCGCUCGUUAUGAAUAAAGGAGCAGAGCCCGAUCGUUAACCCACGUUUGUUACAUUGCACGUUGUUUAACAUUGCACGCGAUUUCAAAGCUGUCAUCGUCUAUGCUGAUUCUGGGCCGAGUUUCCAGACGGUGGACGACCGUUGCGUGAAGAUUCGGGGGUUAAUUAAUUGGAAUGGGGCUCGAGGAGUCGUGAUGGAUGGAUGGAUGGACGAUAGACGAACUUUGAUGAAUUGUAUCGCACAACUGAAAUUAAAAGAAUUAAUAGGUAUAUAGAAAAUAUAUCAGUUGCACUUUUAUGAUUGGAAUAAUUGGACAAACGUUUCGAAAUAAUAUUGCAUAUCUGAAAUAGUACGGAUUCUGGAAUUGUGAAUUAAUUGUUAAUCUAUUUGAGAUUUAAAGGCAAAAUUUUUAAGGAUUUGAAAGUAUUUUAUGUAUUUUGAAUUUUAUAUCGUUGUAGGCUUUUCUUAAAAAGUAGUAAAGCUCACUUGUUUUCUGAUAUAUCUGCAAUGCAAUCUUUAGAAAUUGCUUUAGAAAUUGUCUAAUUAAUAAAUGUAGUGUCGAUAUGUUAUAUAAAUCUCAUGUUUUUUGAUAUAUGUAUAUUACAUUUCGUACAAGCAAAAAGAGGUUCGUUGUUGGAAAUUUCGUCGAAAUAAAAUAAAAGAGUGAGGGAGAGGGAAUAUUUUUAUAGUUUUGAAGAAAAAUUGAUCGAAAGGAUAGGAAAGAAUCGAAUUGUUCUAACUUUUGUUACUUUCCAGUGGAACAGAACAGGGAAUUAAUUGGAAAUGGAAUAGAAAUUCAAAAGUGGAGUGGCUCGCGAAAACUUUAAACCUUCCUUUCCUUUAAUACUCAUCAUAUUCUUCACCCUGUAAAUUUCUUGGCCAAUUAAGAGACGUGCCGUGCGCCGCGAUAUUUAUCUACGUAAAAAAGAAAAUUGGAGGAAUCCUUUCCGACUGGAAAACCCAAUUUUACGCGGCACCACGAGUAUCAAUUCGAGCUUCCCCUAAAUCGCGAAAACAAAAAGCAGGGGAAAAAGGUUUCGAUUCAGGAACCCGGUAACUGCGCGAUCAGCCAGAUUUGUUCGUUCGUUCGCAAAAAAAAAGGGAGAAAAAGAGGAGAAAAAAGAAACGAAGGGAGAGAGAGAGAGGGAGGAAAAGGUUAGAAGCAGAGAAUUCACCUGUUAUCGUCGCGGCCAGGUUGCUCAGCACUUCCGUUUGUUUUCAGAGCCGUUUUCCGAGUCAUCUGGCCGGCUUGUUUGACCGAUUUAAUCCGAGAGAUCGGGCCGGUAACUACGUUAGUUUUAACGAGCCACCAUAAAGGACGAUCGAAAUUUAUAGAAUGGACGGUAAUGGCCGUCCACUUUCCAACUGCAAUCUGGCCACGGAUCAGAAUUCACUCGAUUCAUUUGAAUUUCCACGCUGUGUCACGAAUAGAAUCCAAAACCAGGCUUCGAAUGGAAUAUUAAUAACCUCGAAUCGACGAAACACACACCGGGUAUAUCUGUGUAUUUUAUUUUUAUCCUCUUUUCUUUUCUUUUCUUUUUUUUUUUAAUCUUGUGGAGGAAUCAAUUUCUCGCUCGAGAUCGAUUUCGUCUUAUUCUCGUAAAUAAUUACCGUAAAUACGUUCGUCAUUCAAGGUUUAUUUAUCGUGAAAAUUCGCGUGGAAAAAUUUCAAAUAUAAACCGUUAAUUCGCAGCUGGCUCUCACCUUUGUCGUAAAUUUAAAAUUUUAUCGCGUGGUCAUCUUUUUAAGAAGAGGAAAUUAAUCCUUUAAGAAUAAUCCGAAAUUAAGGAAUUUGGAAUUUAAAUUUAAGGAAAUUAUCCAACGAAUAAUCCUCUCAACAACAAAUUUCAAAGCCCCGCCAUUAACGGUAAACCUAACACGUGAGGUGUGUCUGUGAUGUGUAAAGCAAAAGGUGCGAUUAAUCAUUUUCAAAAGGAGAAAAUUCAUCGAUUAAAAGUGAAAAUCCGCGCGUGACGAGUCGCGCAAGAUUUUUCCAACAAACUCCAGCGCGGCAGUAUCGUCUGACCAAGCACGGUUGUUACCACUGGGGCGAGCCUCUCCUCUUCACCGAUAAAAAAAUACUCCAUAAAGCGUGGAGGGUCGUAACUGCGAUUCGACCGGCCGGAUAUAGUCGUCACGACACGCCUCCGCGCAAAAGUCGUCUCGAUACGAUACGAUAUUCGUUAUGCGUUUCCUUCUGUGACUCGAUAUCGGGUCACGCCGAUAUAAACGACGAGUUUAUAUUCCGCGUAUUAUCGCCACGGGCUCGUUACCGAGCCGAUCGAGGGACGAGGGACGUUCUUUUACGAUUUCGGGGGAAGAGGGAGGAAAAAAGAAAGGAAGGAAGGAAGAAGAACGAUUAACGAUUCGAUUCGAGCGACCGAGUUACCAAAUAGGGUGCACGGACGACGUGUGAAUCGAGUUGCGCGAUGAUAAAAAUGGACGUUUUGACGUUGUGAAAAUAUCCGUGGAGGUUUGAUGUUUCAUUUUGCUCCCACUUUUUUUUUUUUUUUAUUUUCGCUCUCAUUCAAUCGCGAUAGAAAUUAGAGGAAAAGUGUUUUUCUACUGAUCCUUUUUUUUGUUUGUUUUUCGGAGUGUUGAUCUCUUAAUGCUUGAAUUUUUUUUUUAAAUGGUAAAAGUAUGCGCAUGCGAUAAAAAAUUACGAGUGAAACUGAAUUCCUUGGUAUUUUUCUUCCGUCGCACAUUAUAGAAUUAUAAUUACGAAAAUGUGGAAACUUUAAAAAUGGUCGUCCCUCGAGUGGCAACUGUGGAACUUGGUAAUUAUGAGAAUUAUCACGGAUACAGGCCCAAAACUUUUUCCCAAUUACGUUUCUAAUUACGAUAGAGAAUUUCGAGCCGAGGAAAUUGCUGGCGAAAUUUCUAUAAUUAUUUAAAGCGUUAAAAUAUAUACGUCGAGGAAUUUAAUUUCGAGAGAAUUAUUCCCUCGUUACGUUCACCAUUGAAUCGCAAAAUUAUUCUUCUCAUAAGUUAUGCAAAUCAUUCCCAUUUACUUCUUUGUCCAAACCUUCAACAUUUCGACCGUUGAAGAGUCUUAUUAUUCAAACAACGGUUAUGAAUGAAUGAAUUUCGUGAAAAUUCCAGAGUUGAUUUACCAGCAAAUUGUCACCAAAAAUUCGAUCCAUAUGAUAUAAUAAAAUCUGUUCUCUCAUUUAUUCAAAACCCCGUUCAACGGCGGACUGAAUGAACGAGGAAAUAAUGUACGAGAUUCGAGUAGAAAUUCAAUUGUUUUGAUUCAAUCUGAAGAAUCAGCGGAUACAAUUUUUCGAGCAAAUUGGAUCUCACAAUUCUCUACACGCUGCCCAACGAUAAGACAAAAAUCUCAAAACCGAUUUCUAAAAAUUUCGCAUUCCUAAAAAUUCUGAAUCUGUCAACUUGCGAAGAAAUCUCGUGUACAAUUUUAGAACAGAAGAACAUGCAUGUUUUUUCAACUCCCACAAAAGUUCACCUCGAUCGAAACCAACGAAAAAUCGAAAAAUCAUUCAAAUAGGAUAAAACGAUAAUAAGCAAUCGCAAACUCGAUUCUUCUUCUUCUUCUUCUUCUUCUUCCAACGCUCGAAACGAAUAAUCCUUCAAACGCCGCCAAAUAUUCGAUCGGAAAACUCUUCCUCUCGUUCAAAAAAAAGAAAAAAAAAAAAAAACGUUCAAAUCUGCCAAGCCUACAACGGUCGGCGAACGCUCGACGCCCGGCACGCAAUUUACGCGUACCCGUCGGCGGAUGGCGUGGCACUGUUAUCAAGCCAAGGGCUCCUCGCCACGAACCCCCAGCCGACGCCUAAGUCGAUGAGCGCAUGCGCGUGCCACGGUCCCGGAACGAUGAAAAACACUAGCGGGUUCGUGUCUGUGAACGGGCGCGAGCCGUGGACGGCUCUUGGUGUAUGGCGCACUGCCACCUCUACGUCGACGCCGGCAGCACGGUCGGUAACCAGAUUGGGCUCCUCUUCUCUUCGACAAUCAAAAACAGGGCCGGGGACGAGGCGUUGUUUAUAGCGGGCGGAAAGGUCGAGCUCCUGGUUUCCACCCGGCUUCUAGGCUUAGUUUAGAAUGUUCAGUGGUGUGACCUCGGCCGUACAGACGACUCGUCCACUUGAUUUUUGGGUUCGUGUCCGAGGAUUAUCGAUCGGAUACCCGCCGAUUCACUAAGACAAAAAAGAAACGAAACUUUUUGAUGUAAUUUCAACGCUUCGGAAGAUUCGUCAAAAUUUUGCUAAUUUUUCGCAUUUGAAAAAUCGCAUUGAGGAGAUUUUUUUUUUUCCAUCCCACGUCGAGGGUUAAUAAUAUUCUCGAUGGCACGAAAGGAAUAUUUCUCUCUUUCAAAAAGCGAUCGUAAAAGGAGGGGGAGGGGGAGGGCAAGAAAAAGAAGAAGAAGAGGAAAAAAAGAAACCUCUAGGUCCCCCGAGCAGAAAGCAAACGUAAUCUACCGAUGUCUGUCGAAUACAAAGUAGCGUUGAACAUAAUACUUAGAAUGCAAUCUAUCGUGCUACAUACAUAUAAAUCGCUGUGAUCACUGAGUCGUUGAAAUUCGUAACGAUCCUCCUUCUUUCCUCUCUUCUCCUCCUCCUCCUCCUCCUCCAUUUUCCGCCGCUUCGUCCUCGUUUCCCCGUCCAUUCCACUUUUUGCCCCCUCCCCUUCCCUCCCCCGAAACUGUAUUCCUGUCACGAAUGUGGAACGAAAUAGAAUUGUUGAAGCAACGAUAAGAUGAAUGGAAAGGAGAGAGAGAGAGAGAGAGAGAUAAAAAAGAAGGGACGAAAACGAGGACAGGUAUCUCUUUUAUCAGUCUGAAUUAACAGUCGGAUGAAUUGAAUUACGUGAAAUUUUAUUAUAUUCUCGCAGGAAAUUUUGUCGAGAAAAAUUUCUUUAAAAAUAAAAUCUCUCCUCUUUAUGAACGAUAAUGGAACGCCAUGAGGGGGAUUAUCGGCUUCGAGGAGAAAUAUAUUUUUAAUUUCGUUGGAUCGAAUGGAAGAAAAAAGAAAGAGAGAAAAGGAGGAGGAGGAGGAAGAAGAAAACGAGUAUAUCUUUGUUCGGUGGGAAUAUGGAGGCCAUUAUAAAAAUUUACAACCGUGCGUGUUUCCGUUUGUAUCUCAAUUUCGCUUCGUUUUUUCCAACACGGUCCAUUUACCGUGCCCAUUCCCGGCAAAUAAAAUACAAAUAAACUACUUGGAAGCUGGAUGGAAAGACGUCUGUGCAAGAAGAUAGAAACAAGCACAAAUUGAAUAACAUCAAAGGAGGGGAAGAGGUGAAGAAGAAGAAUAAGAAGAAGAAGAAGAAGAAGACAACGAAGAAGAAAAAGAAGAAGAAGAAGAAGAAGAAGAAGAAAAGACAAGGAUGCUCUCAUAACUCUUUCUAAGCGCGAAACACGUCCCGGAUGGAAAAUUAUCUUUCAUCUUUCGACGAGAAGAAUAAGUUUUGUGUAAAAGUGAUGAAAUAAAAAUGUAAAUAAAUGUAAAUAAAAAUGUAAUAAAUAUAAUGAAUAAAAUGAAACUAGUUUGAAAAAAA